UACGUAGGAGGCAAGCGUUGUCCGGAAUUACUGGGCGUAAAGCGCGUGUAGGUGGUGGGACAAGUCUGCUGUGAAAGCGCCUGGCUUAACCGGGCGAGGUCGGCGGAAACUGUUCGACUCGAGGACGGUAGAGGGGGGUGGAAUUCCGGUGUAGUGGUGAAAUGCGUAGAGAUCGGGAGGAACACCUGUGGCGAAGGCGGCCCCCUGGGCCGGCCCUGACACUGAGACGCGAAGGCGUGGGGAGCGAACGGG
rnacentral:rRNA from 1 species